rnacentral:rRNA from 1 species
ACGGAGUUACAAAGGACGACAUUAGACGAAUCAUCUGGAAAGAUGAAUCAAAGAAGGUAAUAAUCCUGUAGUCGAAAAUGUUGUCUCUCUUGAGUGGAUCCUGAGUACGACGGAGCACGUGAAAUUCCGUCGGAAUCUGGGAGGACCAUCUCCUAAGGCUAAAUACUCUCUAGUGACCGAUAGUGAACCAGUACCGUGAGGGAAAGGUGAAAAGCACCCCGGAAGGGGAGUGAAAUAGAACCUGAAACCGUGUGCUUACAAGUAGUCAGAGCCCGUUAAUGGGUGAUGGCGUGCCUUUUGUAGAAUGAACCGGCGAGUUACGAUUUGAUGCAAGGUUAAGCAGUAAAUGUGGAGCCGUAGCGAAAGCGAGUCUGAAUAGGGCGUUUAGUAUUUGGUCGUAGACCCGAAACCAGGUGAUCUACCCUUGGUCAGGUUGAAGUUCAGGUAACACUGAAUGGAGGACCGAACCGACUUACGUUGAAAAGUGAGCGGAUGAACUGAGGGUAGCGGAGAAAUUCCAAUCGAACCUGGAGAUAGCUGGUUCUCUCCGAAAUAGCUUUAGGGCUAGCCUCAAGUGAUGAUUAUUGGAGGUAGAGCACUGUUUGGACGAGGGGCCCCUCUCGGGUUACCGAAUUCAGACAAACUCCGAAUGCCAAUUAAUUUAACUUGGGAGUCAGAACAUGGGUGAUAAGGUCCGUGUUCGAAAGGGAAACAGCCCAGACCACCAGCUAAGGUCCCAAAAUAUAUGUUAAGUGGAAAAGGAUGUGGCGUUGCCCAGACAACUAGGAUGUUGGCUUAGAAGCAGCCAUCAUUUAAAGAGUGCGUAAUAGCUCACUAGUCGAGUGACACUGCGCCGAAAAUGUACCGGGGCUAAACAUAUUACCGAAGCUGUGGAUUGUCCUUUGGACAAUGGUAGGAGAGCGUUCUAAGGGCGUUGAAGCAUGAUCGUAAGGACAUGUGGAGCGCUUAGAAGUGAGAAUGCCGGUGUGAGUAGCGAAAGACGGGUGAGAAUCCCGUCCACCGAUUGACUAAGGUUUCCAGAGGAAGGCUCGUCCGCUCUGGGUUAGUCGGGUCCUAAGCUGAGGCCGACAGGCGUAGGCGAUGGAUAACAGGUUGAUAUUCCUGUACCACCUAUAAUCGUUUUAAUCGAUGGGGGGACGCAGUAGGAUAGGCGAAGCGUGCGAUUGGAUUGCACGUCUAAGCAGUAAGGCUGAGUAUUAGGCAAAUCCGGUACUCGUUAAGGCUGAGCUGUGAUGGGGAGAAGACAUUGUGUCUUCGAGUCGUUGAUUUCACACUGCCGAGAAAAGCCUCUAGAUAGAAAAUAGGUGCCCGUACCGCAAACCGACACAGGUAGUCAAGAUGAGAAUUCUAAGGUGAGCGAGCGAACUCUCGUUAAGGA